CAGAAAAUUCUGUGACUAAGCCUGAUGUCUUUGGACUGAGGGAGUCACCCCACAAAAGCGCCGUACUCGCAGAAAUCACCACUGCUAUCCUAAAAUACCACGAAAUCCAGUACACAGCUGUGUAUUUUACUGGGACACCUCCCCGUUGGCUUUCUGGUGGGAUGCCUCUGUCCAGUGUGGAGUACAAAAGACGUAGAUCAUUCAUCUCAACCAUACAUGGCAACAGGAACGAGAAAGAUGGCUUUAAGAGGUGGAGAAUGAAGGUCACGUGAGCAUCAUGUCCUGGUGCUGACUUCAGAACAAAGAUCUUAUGCUGAGAUUAGAGUCCCACUACUGCAACAUUUGUGGCACAAUCCUGAUGUGGCCUCGAAGCUCACCGUCCAUAAAAAAAGAGACGUAGAUCAUGCACUGGAUCCACAGCGCUCUCCUGCUGAGUCUCCCUGAAAUGUAAUUAGGGUUAAUAAGAAAUCCUGAAUUUAAAACACGAUAAUCUUACACCACUGAUACCCCUAUUUUCUGUCCCAAAA